GGGUCGGUAGCUCAGUUGGUAGAGCAGCGGACUUUUAAUCCGAAGGUCGUGGGUUCGAGUCCCACCCGGCCCACCA
rnacentral:tRNA from 1 species